rnacentral:rRNA from 1 species
CUAAAUUACGCGGUGCUCACUCUCAUUCCUAAAGUCAAAGGGGCAUACUUGAUUUCUCAAUUUAGGCUUGUUGCCUUGAUCAACAACUUUGCAAAGUUUCCGGCUAAAGGCUUUGCCACUAGGCUCUCUCCGAUCGCUCACCGCGCUAUUAGCCCUUAUCAAUCUGCGUUCAUAAAGGGCAGGUUUAUUUUGGAUGGCGUUCUCUGCCUGCAUGAGAUUGUCCAUGAUUUGCGGAUCCAGGGGACUAAAGCUGUGGUUCUCAAGCUUGAUUUCGAGAAAGCAUACGAUUCGGUUAGUUGGAAUUUCCUUCGUCAAGUCCUUCUUGCUAAGGGUUUUGAUGGUGCGGUGGUUCACCGGCUUAUGCAUCUGGUCACGGGUGGACACACGGCUGUGUCGGUCAACGGGCAGAUCAGUAAUUUUUUCGCCAACGGCAGGGGCCUAAGACAAGGUGACCCGGUUUCCCCCCUUCUCUUCAAUUUUGUCGCGGAUGCCCUCUCCCAUAUUCUGUCUCGGGCUGCUCUUGCCGGCCACAUCACUCCUGUCAGCUCUCACCUUAUCCCCAAUGUCAUCACCCAUCUUCAAUAUGCAGACGAUACCAUCAUUAUGGUUGAGCUUAACGAGGCCAGUAUUACUCAUUUGAAAUUCCUGCUUCUCUGCUUCGAAGCGCUCUUGGAUCUUAAAAUAAAUUUUUCUAAGAGCUAA